GGGCUCACAAAACAGCUACUUGAUGACACCAUUGGAAUUCACCCCACAUGUGGGGAGGUGUUCACGACUUUGGAAAUCACAAAGUCGUCGGGACUAGACAUCACUCAGAAAGGCUGCUGAGGCUAGGCCUGCUGCUGUUUAGUUCUCCUUGUCAUAUUCUCAUUUCUCUCAAAGAUAAGAAUGCUCUCGGAUAAAAUGAGCCUGUGCUCAUGACAGCUGCUCUGUUACUCAGGGACCAGUGCAGGGCUGUCUUACGACACUUAGAUGAGAAAGUAGACAGGGAAAGAGGACAGCAGUGGGCAUCUGCCUUGUGGUCUUGCUGACAGCGAGAAGCAGUGGGACUGCUUCCUUGACGCCUUAGCUUGGAGCCCCGUUAUGAGGUCCUCUCAGAUUGCAGCAGGAUGUUUCAUGAAAGCCUAGACCCGGAAGAAUAGGAGGAUAGGAGACUGCAGCAGCUGACCUCUGGAAGCCAGAGCUGGAUGAGGGACCUGAGCGAGAGGAGACUUGGGCAGCCGGAGCUGAAAGCUGAGCAGCAGAUGCCACCGGAGCCUGUGAGGGCACGAUUGAGCGUGGGGCUGGCUUGCUGCUGCUCCCACACCACUGCAGAGGCGUCCUCUCUGGAACAUGGAGACAAGGUUUUUCGACAGGGGUUUCCCAGUACCCUGGAAGAGAUUAAGAGACUACUGACGAUCUCCAGGGCACUGCAAGCCAGAUCUGUACCCUCCACCCAGGAGAAGGCAAAAUGUCUUUCUGGAGAGCCUGGGCGGCCAGAGGGGAAAGGCCAAGAAACCUAUCCUGGCCCUGGGAAAGUGGAGGGUAAGGCAGAGCCAGCCAUGAGAAAGGAUGAUGUUUGCCCAGGCAUGAAAUGUAUCAGCGGAUGAUCUCUCACAUGGAAGAAGCCAAGGCAGCUACACCCGAUGGCUUAGCAAUAAGAAACACCAAACCAGACAAACACCACUGCUGCUGGGAAAGGGACCUGGCAGAAGGAAAAGGCUGUUCAGAGAGCAGAGGUAUUUCGUGUGAGCCUUUUAGGGCUUCUUGUCUCUUUAGACCACAUGCACAUAUUACUUGUAUAAAAUAAUGCACCAGAUACAAACAAUGAAAUGCAAGUGCUGAGUUCGAUAGACUCAUACA
rnacentral:sRNA from 1 species